rnacentral:rRNA from 1 species
AUACGGAGGGUCCAAGCGUUAUCCGGAAUCAUUGGGGUUAAAGGGUCCGUAGGCGGGCAAUUAAGUCAGAGGUGAAAUCCCACAGCUCAACUGUGGAACUGCCUUUGAUACUGGUUGUCUUGAAUUAUAGUGAAGUAGAUAGAAUAUGUAGUGUAGCGGUGAAAUGCUUAGAUAUUACAUAGAAUACCGAUUGCGAAGGCAGUCUACUAACUGUAUAUUGACGCUGAUGGACGAAAGCGUGGGGAGCGAACAGGAUUAGAAACCCUAGUAGUCC